GAUUUCUGGUAUGGCGCGCUUGGCCCGCCCAGGUUACUGGGUUGUGUGCCGACGCGCGCCUGCCAUCCUUCUAGAGAUCGGUUCUGCCCUUUACUGGGUGGGAAUCGCUACCUAGAUCUUUUACUUUGAAAAAAUUAGAGUGUUUAAAGCAGGCUUUUGCUAUGAAUACAUUAGCAUGGAAUAAUAAUUUAGGACUUUGGUCUUAUUUUGUUGGUUUCUAGGACUAAAGUAAUGAUUGAUAGGGAUAGUUGGGGGUGCUAGUAUUCAGCGGCCAGAGGUGAAAUUCUUGGAUUCGCUGAAGACUAACUUAUGCGAAAGCAUU
rnacentral:rRNA from 2 species